rnacentral:lncRNA from 1 species
UGAGAAUUUAGAAUUUAGGGUUUUAGAGUUAACAUAGGUGGAUAAGUUUUGUUUUUUUUAUCUUGAUUAGUUUUUUAAUUUGACCGGUUUAUGUUAUAGCAAUUAGAAAGUCCAUAUCAGAUGCCACGUCUAUUGUGAAUGAUGACCCACUCAAAAUAUGUUACGUGACCAAUCUGGGUCCACUCUUGCAUAAAAAUUAGU